rnacentral:lncRNA from 10 species
GUAGGGUAAGGACGAACAGACCUAAUAGAAUGAAGGGAUGUAGUAGGCUCAUAAGGGUUAUUACUGUUCUUCAGAAAUAAGAGUGAGUUUAAGGGAAGUGGGGGAGAGUACUUGCGACUUCCAGGAGGAAGAGGAGGGAUUAGGCUGGCUGUCCGAUGGCCACAGCUUUAUUCUGGAAAGGUGAACCCAGUGGGGAGGAUCCUGCAGGCAGACAGCAGUUGGGGUACUAUAGAUAAGUAGGGUCCGGUCCAUCAAGGUUGUAGAGUUUGAGGGGUGUGAGUUGAAGAGGUUUUAAGUUUUUGAGAACACAGGCCAAGGGCGUAGAAGGAGGAAUGGAGGGUGGAAGGUUACCCAUAGUGAAGGAAGCAAGCCUAGAGAAAAGAGAGUAGAGAAAUGGAGGGAAGAGGUUCGGGGGAUCUUACCUUCCAGAAAAGUGGGAAAAAGGGUUUGGGGCAUGGAAAUAAGGGAUUGGGGCACAGAGAUAAGAGGUAGGGGUGUAGUUGGGGUGCAGAAAUAAGGGAU